rnacentral:lncRNA from 10 species
AGCUACUGACACACACGUCAACACAGAUGAACACUGAAAACACUAUGUUCAAUGGAAGAAGCCAGACUCAGAAAGCUACACCCUGUAUGAUCCCAUUUAUGUGACAUUCUCACAGAGGUAAACCUACAGGAACAGGAAACAAGACCGGUGACUGCCCAGGGCUAGGGGAGGGCUUGCUUAUAAAGGGCAUGCAAGGGGCUUGGCACUGUGGAAAACAGUCUGGCAAUGCCUCCAAAAGCUAAACAUAGGAUUACCAUAUGAU